rnacentral:rRNA from 1 species
AUUGAACGCUGGCGGCAGGCCUAACACAUGCAAGUCGAGCGAGAGGCGGACGGGUGAGUAAUGCCUAGGAAUCUGCCGGGUAGUGGGGGAUAACGUCAGGAAACGGUAGAUAAUACCGCAAACCAUCGGAUGUGCCCAGAUGGGAUUAGCUAGUAGGUGGGGUAACGGCUCACCUAGGCGACGAUCCCUAGCUGGUAUGAGAGGAUUACCAGCCACACUGGAACUGAGACACGGUCCAGACUCCUACGGGAGGCAGCAGUGGGGAAUAUUGCACAAUGGGCGCAAGCCUGAUGCAGCCAUGCCGCGUGUAUGAAGAAGGCCUUCGGGUUGUAAAGUACUUUCAGCGGGGAGGCGUUACCCGCAGAAGAAGCACCGGCUAACUCCGUGCCAGCAGCCGCGGUAAUAC